rnacentral:rRNA from 2 species
UACGUAGGUGGCGAGCGUUGUCCGGAAUUACUGGGUGUAAAGGGCGUGUAGGCGGGACGGUAAGUCAGAUGUGAAAUUCCGAAGCUUAACUUCGGCGCUGCAUCUGAAACUAUCGUUCUUGAGUGCUGGAGAGGAAAGCGGAAUUCCUAGUGUAGCGGUGAAAUGCGUAGAUAUUAGGAGGAACACCAGUGGCGAAGGCGGCUUUCUGGACAGUAACUGACGCUGAGGCGCGAAAGCGUGGGGAGCAAACAGG